GGUGUAGCUCAGUGGUAGAGCACAGGCUUAGCACGUGCAAGGGGUUGGGUUCAAAUCCCAGCACC
rnacentral:tRNA from 1 species